ACGGCGAGGCCUUUCUGCUACUCACCCAAACAGACAUCGUCAAGAUCCUGUCCAUCAAGUUGGGCCCCGCCCUGAAGAUUUAUAACGCCAUCCUCAUGUUUAAGAGCGCCGAUGAAGAGUAACUAUAAGGACUCCCAACAGAAACGUUUACAGAAAAGCCAUCCGCUAUAAUAAAUUGCUCUCUUCUCAAUUGACUUAACAGGGCGAGUUCUUUAAUUGUAUCGUUUACUGACACGUCAAUUAACAGACACCUUGAAAAAUGUUCCUGACAUAGUUUGUGAAUUGUCCCAAAAGAAAAUGUCAGAGCUUUCAAAGCUGGUUAACCAAGCACUUUAGUUGCUUGUGGUUUUUUUCUUUUUUUUUUAUGAAUGGCACUAUUGUUUUUGUAUUCUCUCUCUCUCUCUCCAUUAGAGAGCAAGUGAAAGCUGAGAACAGUAUCAAUGACUUUUUUUUGUGAAGGGUGGGGAAAAUGUUUUUCCCUCCCAACAAGGGCCACUUCAUUUUUUUUAUGAAGUCCUCAGAGGGCUGUUUGAAAAUUAAAAACCAUGCGGACAAAGGUUAUUACUGUACAUAUAUAUGGGAAAUUUCAGGUUGUAUUUGUUAGAAGUGCACGGCGGGCUGUAGGCCUUCCCCUCACUGGUCUAACUGGUGAUUAAGAAAAUUCCUGGUUUAUAAUUCUCAUUGUUUUGAUGGCACAUGAAUGUUUUAAAAAAUAUUUUGCCAUUAUAAAUAGAAUGCAGGUACACAAGGAUUUGCUCCUGCUUGGUUAUGCAAAGAUUGAAGGCGAAGAAAAAUGUAAAAGAAAAACGUUGCCGAGGCAACAAACUGUCUGUCACCAGUUUGGAAUGUGUUACAUCGGUGCGUGUUUAUAUGGAAACAGCUUUUUAUUUAUGUAUUCUAAUUUAAGGGUUAAUGGUAUGCCGUCUUGGCUCUAAGGAGUGUGUGAGUGCUUGCGCAAGUUUGGGUAUGAAAUAAAUGAGAUGCACACUCA